rnacentral:rRNA from 1 species
UACAGAGGAUGCAAGCGUUAUCCGGAAUGAUUGGGCGUAAAGCGUCUGUAGGUGGCUUUUUAAGUCCGCCGUCAAAUCCCAGGGCUCAACUCUGGACAGGCGGUGGAAACUACCAAGCUGGAGUACGGUAGGGGCAGAGGGAAUUUCCGGUGGAGCGGUGAAAUGCGUAGAUAUCAGGAAGAACACCCGUGGCUAAGGCGGCUCUCGUAGUACGGUACUGACGCUGAGACGCGAAAGCGUGGGGAGCGAACAGG